rnacentral:rRNA from 1 species
UUCAGCUCCAAUAGCGUAUAUUAAAGUUGUUGCAGUUAAAAAGCUCGUAGUUGGAUCUGGGGUUCGGGUCGGCGGUUUGCCGCUUCGGCGGCUACUGCCGUGCUCGACUCUUACUAGCCGGUGCGUCUUGCGGUGCUCUUCAUCGAGUGCCGUAGGAGCCUGGCAUGUUUACUUUGAAAAAAUUAGAGUGCUCAAAGCAGGCGAUUCCGCCUGAAUAGUGUUGCAUGGAAUAAUGGAAUAGGACCUCGGUUCUAUUUUGUUGGUUUUCGGAACUUGAGGUAAUGAUUAAGAGGGACGGUCGGGGGCAUUCGUAUUUCGGUGUUAGAGGUGAAAUUCUUGGAUCGCUGAAAGACGGACAAAUGCGAAAGCAUCUGCCAAGAACGUCUCCAUUAAUCAAGAACGAAAGUCAGAGGUUCGAAGACGAUCAGACACCGUCCUAGUUCUGACCAUAAACGAUGCCAACUAGCGAUCCGCAGUGGUUGCUAUAAACGGACUCUGCGAGCAGCUUCCGGGAAACCAAAGUGUUUGGGUUCCGGGGGAAGUAUGGUUGCAAAGCUGAAACUUAAAGGAAUUGACGGAAGGGCACCACCAGGAGUGGAGCCUGCGGCUUAAUUUGACACAACACGGGGAAACUCACCCGGUCCGGACACUGUAAGGAUUGACAGAUCGAGAGCUCUUUCUUGAUUCGGUGGAUGGUGGUGCAUGGCCGUUCUUAGUUGGUGGAGUGAUUUGUCUGGUUAAUUCCGAUAACGAACGAGACUCUAGCCUGCUAACUAGUUGCGCCGUGUUCAUACGCGGCUGUAGACUUCUUAGAGGGACAGGUGGCGUUUAGCCACACGAAAUUGAGCAAUAACAGGUCUGUGAUGCCCUUAGAUGUCCGGGGCCGCACGCGCGCUACACUGAAGGAGUCAGCGUGUGCUAUCCGGGCUCGGAAGAGUUCGGUAACCCGUUGAAACUCCUUCGUGCUUGGGAUUGUGGCUUGUAAUUAUCGCGCAUGAACGAGGAAUUCCCAGUAAGUGCAAGUCAUCAGCUUGCGCUGACUACGUCCCUGCCCUUUGUACACACCGCCCGUCGCUACUACCGAUUGAAUGGUUUAGCAAGGUACUCGGAUUGGUCUCGAUCUUGUACGAAAGUGCGGGAUCUGUGGCCGAGAAGAAGGCCAAACUUGAUCAUUUAGAGGAAGUAAA